rnacentral:tRNA from 1 species
GGGGUUGCAGCUCAGUGGCAGAGUGUUUGCCUAGCAUGCAUGAGGCACUGGGUUCGAUCCCCAGCACCACA